rnacentral:lncRNA from 1 species
UUUUUUUGUUUUUGUUUUUUUGUUUUUGGUCAUUAGGAAAUCAGACAGCUUAAAUUUACUCAGGUCUAUCAUCUGUGUACUAGAUAAAAUUAUCACAUACCCCAUUAUCACAUAAAAAGACACUACCUCAAAAAGCUCAUUAUAAAUCUGUAUCCCAGUAGCAUUUUGUACAAAAUUUUUGUAGGCUUUUAACCCUAGUGCCCUAGGUCUUGCACUCAGAUGGUGAGCUCCUAGGAUGCAGGUGCCAACUUUAUUAAUCUUUUAUCUUUAACACCUAAACAGAAUUUAUGCUCAAGAAUGUUAGCUGAAAGAAUAGUUUUCAAUUUCUUUAAAGACUCUCCAAUGGGAAAGUAAAUUCCAAAGAACAUAAACAGAAUACUGCCACCUCCUGGGUAAUACAGGUCAGGCAUCCUUUAGCAAAUACCAGGAAGAGAAAGCAUAGAAUUUAUACCUAGGUGCAUCGAAGUUUAAAAUUUAAACCCAGCUCUGUCAUUUGCUGGGUCAAACUGGAAAAUCUCAAUCUUUUAAAAUAUAAGUUUCCCCUUGGACUUCCCGUGUGGCUCACAACAUAAAAUAUAAGUUUCCCCUUCUACAAAAUAGGCAUAGUAUCUGCCCUAUCUCUCAGGAAUAAUCAUGACAGUCAAAUUAGAUAAUGACUAUAAAAGUUAUCUGUUGAUUAUAAAGCAUUUUCCAAGUAUGAGACCAGAGUUGAUAUUUACUGCACCAUGCUAAGGAUAAAAAAUCCUUAUUUUUUAAUUGAAUAUUUUAUUAACGUGGUUGUUGUCGUAACAAGUUCAUCAUAGGAGUUUCCCUGAUGGCACAGCGGCUUAACAAUCAUCAUUGUCACUGCAGUGACUCAAAUCAUUGCUAUGGUGGUUCAAUCCCUGGCCCUGGAAUUUCUGUACGCUGCGGGUGAGGCAAAAAACACACAAAAAAACCCCAAACAAAGAACAAACAGGGAGUUCCUGUUGUAGCUCAGUGGAUUAAGAAUCCGACUAGUAUCCAUGAGGAUGUGGGUUCAAUCCCUGGCCUCACUUGGUGGGUUAAAGGAUCUGGUGUUGCCGUGAGCUGUGGUAUAAGUCGCAGACCCAGCUCGGGUCUGACAUUACUGUGGCUUUGACAUAGGUUGGCAGCUGCAGGUCCCAUUAGACCCCUAGCCUUGGAACUUCCAUAUGCCACAGAAUGCAGCCCUAAAAAAGUAAAACAAAACAAAAUAAAUCCAUCUUAUUCCUCACUAAAAAUCUAAGUAAAUAACCUGCAGCUUGAGGUUCAGAGCCAACUCAUUAAAUUUUCAAUGUCUAAUGACAAAUUUCUUUCUUUAUAUGUUAAUAUAAACUCACUACCAUUGACUUAGUAAAUGUGCUGUUAAACAAAAAAAUAUACCAAAAUUAGGAGUUCCCACUGUUGCAUGCUGGGUUAAGAAACCCACUACAGUAGCUUGGGUCACUGUGGAGGCACGGUUCAAUCCUGGGCCCAGAAUUGUGGGUUAAAAGAAUCCAGCAUUGGGAGUUCCCGUCGUGGCGCAGUGGUUAACGAAUCCGACUAGGAACCAUGAGGUCUCGGGUUCGGUCCCUGCCCUUGCUCAGUGGGUUAACGAUCCGGCGUUGCCGUGAGCUGUGGUGUAGGUUGCAGACGCGGCUCGGAUCCCGCGUUGCUGUGGCUCUGGCAUAGGCCGGUGGCUACAGCUCCGAUUCAACCCCUAGCCUGGGAACCUACAUAUGCCGCGGGAGCGGCCCAAGAAAUAGCAACAACAAAAGACAAAAAGACAAAAAAAAAAAAAAAAAAAAAAAGAAUCCAGCAUUGCCGCAGCUGCGGUGUAAGUCACAGCUGAGGCUCAGAUUCAAUCCCUGGCCUGCGAACUUCCAUAUGCCAAGGGUGGGGCCAUAAAAAAAAAAAAAAAAAGCUAAAAUUAAAACUACUUAGAGAUACCAUUUCUGAUCCACUAGACUAGCAAAAAUCCAAAGGCUUAACACAAACCAUUGAAGAAAUUGUGGUAAAAAGGCUGCCAUAUAUUGUGGAAAUGCAAAACAGCAUAACUCCUUUUGCACUAUUUAGCAAAAUUGCAUAUGCUUUUACCCUUCAAUCUAACAGUUCUACUUCAAGGAAUAUAUUCCAAAGACACAAUGGCAACAUGUCCAAGGCACAUUCAUUCCAGUAAGCAAGGAAGCUACUAUCAAAGACCACUGGGGUUGUUUUACUGCACACCUUAAAUUUGUGAUCUUCUGAUUUUGAGAUUUGAAGUUUUAUUGAGCACCUUUAAAAACAUAACAUCAGGGAGUUCCCGUCGUGGCGCAGUGGUUAACGAAUCCGACUAGGAACCAUGAGGUUGCGGGUUCGGUCCCUGCCCUUGCUCAGUGGGUUAACGAUCCGGCGUUGCCGUGAGCUGUGGUGUAGGUUGCAGAAGCGGCUCGGAUCCCGCGUUGCUGUGGCUCUGGCGUAGGCCGGUGGCUACAGCUCCGAUUCAACCCCUAGCCUGGGAACCUCCAUAUGCCGCGGAAGCGGCCCAAGAGAUAGCAACAACAACAACAACAAAAGACAAAAAAAAAUUAAAAAAAUUAAAAAAAAAUAACAUCAAAAUAAUAAAAUUGGGUUGGAGUUUCCAUCGUGGCUCAGUGGUUAAUGAAUCCGACUAGGAAUCAUGAGGUUGUGGGUUCGAUCCCUGGCCUUGCUCAGUGGGUUAAGGAUCCGCAUUGCUGUGAGCUGUGGUGUAGGCUGCAGAUACAGCUUGGAUCUGGUGUUGCUGUGGCUGUGGUGUAGGCCGCCAGCUAUAGCUCUGAUUAGACCCCUAGCCUGGGAACCUCCAUAUGCCUUAAGUGCAGCCCUAAAAAAUACAAAAAAAAAAAAAAAAAAGAAGAAGAAAUUAAAGAAGUAAUUGCUUUGUUUGGCCACUUUGCCAAACAAAAGUUCCCAGGCCAGAGAUCAAACCUGUGCCACAGCAGUGACAAUGCCAGAUCCUUCACCCUCUGAACCGCCAGGGAACUCCAAUAAGUAAUUAGUAAGAUGAUAAUUUUUCCCAAAUUGAUAUAUAGUUUCAAUGUAAUUCUUACCCAAACCCUAGUAGGCUUCUUUGUAGAAGUUGACAAGCUGAUGGAAAUGUAAAGGACCUGGGAGAACCAAAACAAUUUUGAAAAAGAAUAAAGUUGAAAGACUUACAGAUUUCAAAACUUACUAGAAAGCCCUAAAGUAAUCAAGAGAACAUAGUAUUGUUAAAAGAUAGGAAUGUAGAUUAACAGACCAG